AGGAGUCUAACAUAUAUGCGAGUAUUUGAGUGGUAAAGUCUUAUGCGUAAUGAAGGUGAAAAGGUGGGAUCUGUAAAAAGUGCACCAUCGACCGCGCCGGAUUAUUGCUAUCUCGGCGUGAGGAUGAGCAUAUCUGUUGGGACCCGAAAGAUGGUGAACUAUGCCUGAAUAGGGUGAAGCCAGUGGAAACUCUGGUGGAGGCUCUUAGCGGUUCUGACGUGCAAAUCGAUCGUCUAAUUUAGGUAUAGGGGCGAAAGACUAAUCGAACCAUCUAGUUGCUGGCUCCCUC
rnacentral:misc_RNA from 1 species